rnacentral:rRNA from 1 species
UACAGAGGUCUCGAGCGUUAGGCGGAAUCACUGGGCUUAAAGCGCACGUAGGCGGCCUCGUAAGUGUCGGAUGAAAUCCCACGGCUUACCCGUGGAACGGUCCGGCAUACUGCGAGGCUCGAGGAUGGUAGAGGAGAGCGGAACUCUUGGUGGAGCGGUGAAAUGCGUAGAUAUCAAGAGGAACACCGGUGGCGAAGGCGGCUCUCUGGUCCAUGUCUGACGCUGAGGUGCGAAAGCCAGGGGAGCAAACGGG